AAAAAAGUACCCUAAAUUAGGGUUUUCUAAUUGCUCCUCUUGUUCUUUAUCCAUCCGUCUUUUCCGCCGUCGAGGAUGUCUGUGUUGGUCUUUUGCAACCGUCAUCUCCGAGGAGAUCGAGUUGCUGUGAAGGGAAGCUCCAUCUGCCCUUCAUUUUUGUGAAGUUUUUGAUAGCUAGAGAGUCUAGCUUGUGUUAGCACAGUAGAGUAGUUGAUGUUGUUCAAACACUUCUUGUACCCCUGGGUAUAUCCCGUGGGCUUGUAAUAUUUAGGACCCCCUGCUCUUCCUUGCUUACUUUGUGACUGCUUUAUGCUCUCAUGCUUGUUAAUAUUAUGCAUGUGAAUUGAUCUUCCUUGUUCUGAUUCUCAAAUUAGGGAUUUGUGUUUUGUCUAUGUUUACAAACUUUCUUAUUUUUGCUGGUAGCUCUUAGAAACUAUGAUAGUCUCUAACAAUUUCUGCAUCAAUCACUUCAUCAGCUGAAGCGUCUGCAACUGUAUUUCCUUCUCUGAAUGUAUGUUGUAGUUGUGCUUGAAUCGUAGUAACCCUCUCUCUUAUGUCUUCAGUUUAUUCCACUAGUUCCCAAGGUACUUUACACUGUUUAUUUAUCAUUCUCAUCAAUACUAGGGAAUCAAUUUCAAUUAUUACCUUCCCGAUUGCCUUCUCUUGUAUGUAAUGUAAGAUUCUUUAAUUGCCUGAGUAUUAGUUGUGACUCCCAAUCCUUUAGCCUUUACAUAAAUCAGAUCUCCUUUAUCAUCCCUAACACAAAAGGCACAAGCACUUAUUCUUGGGUUGCCUUUACUUGCUCUAUCAGUGUUACAUUUAAGAGUAUUCUUCUCAGGAAGCCUCAAAACUACAUUAUAAUAAUUUAACUUUGGCUUGUAAUUUCACAAAAUGUGCACCACUUGUGGCCAAUUCUCCUUCCCAAUAUUAAUCCAUGGGUACAUCUUCUUUACUUGCUUUCUUUUCAUUUCCUGACUCUGCCACACCAAUUCUCCAUAUUUGAUAUCUCCACCAUGUUUAAUUGCAUUCCUUCUCCUCCACAUAUUCCACAUAAUGAUUGUUGGAAUUACUUUAAAUAUGACUUCAGUUUUGGUGAUGCUUUCAUUGUCUACCAAGCCAUGAUAAUCUCCUAUAAAUUCAUGUGUUCUAUGUCAAUACCUGAAAAAAUAGCAAACUCCCUCCAUAAAUUUGCAGCUAUGGGGGGCUGUUAGAAAUAAAUAGUUCAUAAUCUCUUCCUUCUUUACAUCACAACACCAACAUCUGGAUACAACAUUUAUCCACAUUAUUUUUAGAUUGUCAUCAGUUGCAAUCCUCCUUCUCCAAGCCCUCCAUAAAAAAAAAUUAAUUUUGAAAGGCAACCCUUUCGCCCAUAUCAUCUUGUAUUCCUCUCUUUUCUCCUUUUUCUGCCUCAAUAGUUCCCAUGCUGACUUGACUGUGAAAUUGCCCUGAGUAUUACCCAUCCACCAUGGUACACCAUCUUUUUUCACACCUUUGUGGCUGUAUAUUCUCAAUAAUAUAAUUAGCCAUCUCUUCUAAUAGUACACUUUAUAAUUUCAUGUCAUCCCAUUCUAUAUUAAUACAGAAAUCCUUUACCUCUAAUUCCUCCUCUUUCUAAUACCUCAUACUUUUCUUAGUUCAGUUCAGUUCCUAGUGCAUGCAUAAAGCCUAAAAAUUUAAUCAAGUAUUGGAAACUUAGUCAUUUUUUGGGGCCUUUUAACUCGAGAAUUUUUAAAGGGGCCUUUCCGACCUAGAGACGUUGGUUUUUGAGUUAAUUCAUGUUUAGGGAUGUAAGGCGCAUGUCUCGAGGAAGUUUUGGAUUUUUCGGAUGAGGAUUGGGUCUUGGUUGGAUUUCGAUUCCAGAACCUCACUGCAAUAGUGGCGCGUCGCGGUGGUAAUAGCGAUGAGCCCUUCACGCAUCGCGGUGUCCCAUUAAUCAGCAUUCCAAUUAUGAAUUUAAAUGUUUGAGGGGCAGUUAAGUCUUUUCCCAUUGGCUCAAUUCUUAAAAACAUGAAUUUAAGCUUCAAUGAGGGCAUUAUUCACCAAUUUCCUCUAAAAAACAAACCCUAAUCAUUCCCCCAAGUUUAGAAAUUCCAUUCCUUUCUCUCCAAGAAAAUCAAGAACUCAAGUUUUCCAAUUCAAGAACUUUCAAGAAAGCUUUCAAGAUUGUGUUUCCCUUUCAAGCUUAAGGGCUUCGGGUAUGUGGGAGGUUUAUCCAUGAGCCUUUUUCACCCAUGGAGUCCAAAAAUCUAUUUUUUAUGUUUCAAAUUAUGAAUUUACAUGUUUAUGAUGAAUUAUCUCCUUGAAGCUUUCGUGAAUUAUGGUUAUAAACUGUUUUUAAAAGUGUUUUUCAUUGGAAUGGACCCUUACACGUUUGAAUGAUGAUAUUUUCAUGUUAAAUCCCUAAUUCAUGAUUUUAGUAUUGUAACUAUGUUUUAAUUACACGUUUUAUCCAUUCUCAUGCUUAAGUUCAUGACUCUUACGUGUUUGGUGAAAUGCCUAAGUGUUGAAUUUUGAACAAUGAUGCCCUACUAUGGUUUUAAAGCUUUUAUAUGUCCAUAUUGCUAUUUUCAUUCAGUGGUGGAGGGUUAUGAAUACCCGCUACUUAGCUAUUUACCUAGUUUUAGUAUCUUCAGAAUGCUUUCAGACAGACCAUGAGCAUUAUCAUUCAAUUAGUUAUCAUAAUCAAUUGUUUGUUCAGUUAAACUUAGUCAGUCCAGUAAUCAGUGUCAGUUUAAUUGGGAGUAAGAUUUAGCAUCGAGCGAGGCCAGGGAUGGAGGCUCACCUACCAGUAGAGGGUGUGACCUUUAGUAGCAGCCCCUGAGUUCUGGAACUACGUAGCCAGCGUAGGUUAGAGAUAUCAACCUGCCAGUUAAGAACCAUAAGGUAUUUUCUUGCCAGUUGAAGGUAAUACAUAUCUCAUUAGAGCACUUGCCAAUUGAGGGUGACUCAUUAGUCCUUCGGGAUAUUAGUUUAGUGGAUCCACACAACUAUUGUUAGUACCCGUGGCACGGUACUGAUACUCUUCCAAUUGGGGUCACAGGUUGGACCCCGAUUAGCUCAGAUUGGGUCAUAUCGGUUAGAUGAUACCUCACACAGUCUCAGUUCAGUAUUCAGUACAGAAUUAAAUUUCAGGUUUGCUUGACCAUAGUAUACUAUUAUCAGUUAUUCAGUUAACUGAUUUCAAUAUUUCAGUUUACAAACUAUUUUAGAAGCAUAUUAUAUGCUUGGUCAUGCAUUCUCAAACUUUACAUCUUUCACGCAUUUAUAUUCAGUUAUCUCAUGCUAUUCAGUCAGUCUUUACUUCAUGCACAGAAAUCCAUGCAUUUUAGCCUAACCUCAUCUCAUAUACCAGUACAUUUAAAGUAUUGAUCACAUACUCUUCUUUGUGCUAUGAUGUUUAAUAUCAUAGGUUCGUACACGUAGUUUUCCGAUCGCGCUUAGAUAGUUCAUCUAGUCAGGAGCAACAACAGUGGUAAAUUCGCAUUAAACAAGGACCUGUUAUGUUGAAGUUAGUUGGGGUCUGUCCCAUCUACUCUUUUCAGUCACUUUAGAGGCUUUCAGAUAUUUUAGACAGUUAGUCAGUUUAUCAGUUGUUUUAUCAGUCCUUUUAGUAUGUCUUUAGACGUUUAAACUUAUGAUUUGAAUCAUGUUUUUAGUAUUUAAAAUUAGAUGGCUUUUAUCUGUUAGUUUCGUACAUGAGUAUUUUGUUACUGUAUUUAGUGCUCACAGUAGGUACCAGCCCAUGAGUUAGCUUGUGGUCACUUGUGGUUGUAAGCACCAUUGUCGCAACUAGGGGGUAGCCUCGGGUCAUGAAAAAAUUUGGUAUCAAAGCCUAAGGUUGUAUAGUGUCCUAGGGAGUCUGAAAGCUGCAUUAGGUAGAGUUUUGUGCAUGUGUGUGAAGCGCACCAUACUUAUAGACACGAGGCUACAAAAUGUUUUAGGAAAAGUUUCUCUUCUUUUAGUAUUCAUGUCAUGCGAAUGAGCAUGAGCUCUAUCUAAACGCUCUUUCUAAUCUAUACUUUAUUCUGUUACAGACCAUGCCUCCCAGAAGGAAUAACGGAAGGAGGAAUAAGAAUCAGCUCACACCUUUGCUUAUUCAGGAAGAUCCCUUGAAUGUGUAUGUCUAUCACACCGAAUUUAGAGCUGCUUUUACUACCUUAGAUUAUUCAUUAGUUGCUCAGAACAAUCAGCAGGUUGUUGUCCUAUCUAGGGUUAUGGUUCAUGCUCAUUAGAGUGAGAGAGAGAAUCAUAGGAAGAAAGAGAGGGAGAAUAAGAGGAUCAAAAUAAGUAGUUUUAAGCCAAGGUCAGAUGGUGGUAACCGCUCCCAGUUCCAUCAGAACUUCACAGCCCCAGGUCCUUCUACAACUAGUGUGCCAGUGCCAAAAUUUAGAAAUAACAGUCGGGAUAGAGGGUCAGGCUCUAAGUUGUAGAGCAACAUAAACAGUUGUUUUACCAAUCUACUUUAUCGGAGAUGUGGUAAAAAUCAUCAGGGUGUAUGUAGGGCUGGUAGUGGUGUUUUUUUGGGUGUGGCAGGACAGGCCACAGGGUCAGAGAGUGUCCAGUAGUAGCUCAGAAGGGAAAAGAUUUGCGCUAAUAAGGCCAGUCCAAUCAUCCUUCAGCUCCAGCAGGUCGCCCGACUCAGCAGGGUGCCACUUUCAGUGCCACCAGUGGUCAGCGCCAAAAUAGACUUUAUGCACUCUAAUCCCGACACGAUCAGAAAAGUUCUCCUGAUGUGAUUAUGGGUAUGUUACAGGUCUUUCAUCUUCGUGUUUAUGCUUUAUUAGAUCCCGAAGCUUCACUUUCUUUUGUAACCCCUUGUAUAGCUAUCAAUUUUGGUGUCAUUCCUGAAUUUCUAGUAGAGCCCUAUUCAGUAUCUAUUCAAGUAGGUAAACCUAGUAUAUCCAGACGGGUAUACAGAAAUUUCCCGAUUACGGUAUCCCAGAAACUCACUUUAGUUGAUCUUGUGGAGUUAGAGAUGACUGAUUUUGAUGUCAUUCUUGGCAUGAAUUAGCUCCAUUCAUGCUAUGCUUCAAUUGACUGUAGAAAUAAAGUCGUUUAGUUUUAGUUCCUCAAUGAGCCAAUCAUCGAAUAGAUGGGUAGUAUCCCAGUGCUUAGGAGUCAGAUAUGCUUUUAGAUCCCUUCUCAUAAUCCUAUGAUAGCAUAUGACCUAGAUUUAGAAGCAUGAACCUAGAAAUUUAGUAGCAGUAAAGUAGGAAUAGUGUUAUUUGAAUUUGGUGGAUUAUGUAUCCAUGAGGCUAGUUGUAUUGAAGGUGAGUUAGUAGGCUUGAAACAGUGUAUGCAAGAUUUAAGUUGUUGAUUCAAAAUUAAGUAUGAUGAUGUGUUAUUAUGUGCGAAUGAGGUUAUAUGGUAUAUGAUGUUCUUAUCAGUUAACUUAUGGGUUAUAAGUUGAUGAUGUUAGUUAUGUUGGUGUAAUGAUAUUUCUCAUAGUGUAAGGAAAAUAUAAGUUAAGAGUUGUGAUAUUAGUAGGUUGUGAAGGAAGUUAGUAUAGUUCAGUAAGGGUUUGGAGAUAUCCAUGUUAAUUGUUAAAAUCUAAUUUUGAAUCUUUGAAGAUUGAGCUAACAGAAAGAGAGUUGAAACUUUAGGUGUGUGAACUCAGGAUAUGGUGAUACUACUAAAAAUUCUAAGUUAGUAAGUGUUCAAGUUAUUAUACCAUGACUAUGGGGGCUGUAGAAAUUAAAGAAUUGUAUAUUAGAAGAAAGUACUAGCAGUGGGUCUUACAUUAUCAGGCAUAGUCUUUCAUAGUGAGUUUAGCAUUUAUGCGUAUUAUUAUAUCACCAACUUAGGAUGAUAGAUUGAAGCUAAGGGGGAGAUGAUAGAAUAAGUAACCAAGUUAGGCUCUCAGAUCCUAGUAGUGAUGCCAGUAUAUGUAGAAAAAUAGUAAGGGGGGAUGAUGCCCAACCCAUUCUUAUUUCAGUCUUUGUACUUCAGCUAUCGUGAUAUCUACUCAUACUUGAUAUGUUAGCUCUCUGAUCACGGCUCAUAUUUAUGCACUUUAUAGAAAAUCGUGUAUGUUUUUAGUUUUUAGUAUAAAGAGUUCCAAUUUACUCAGCAGCCCAAAUCAUAUUUCAUAAAUUUAUGAACUCUAAAUUUAGGUCAUGCGGCUCAUGACUCAUGUACUCAUGCUUUGCAGUAGUUCCAGUUCUAGGUACUCAUGAUACACUCUUGAUGAUCAUCGAAAUCCAUAUCAUGUCAUUUACGUCCUCAGUUUAGAUCUCUUUAAUAAAUUCAUGAUGCUAAUACUUUAUUCCUCGGGCCUUAGUUAAGUUUCCCAGUUAUGCAUAGUACUCUUUCAUGCUUCAGGUCCUCAUGUUCAAACCUUUCAAUAACCUUUCCUUAUGUCAAGAUAGUGAUGAUGAACAGUUGUUUAGAUGGUAGAGAAUAAAUGUUUCUUGUUGACGAAAGCUUGUUGUAUGCCUGUUUGAUCUAAGGUUAUAACUGUGAAUUAAGAUUGAGGCCAAGUUUUUGAUAUAUGUCAUGGUUAUUCGAAAUUUUGUGUGUGGUUCUCUUAAGAAUAAUGGAUGGAAGUUGUUAAUGAUAGAGGUUUGGAGGAUAUGAGAAAGAUGUUUUUAUGGAUAUUUAUUUAGAAGUUCAUGUGUGGUUAGGAAGAUAGGCUUGAAUGUCAUGUUGGUGUAUAAGUGGAUGACUGCAUUGCGUGUUAGUAUUCCUAGUAAAAGGUUGAAUAUAGUUGUUGAAGUGGUAAUCCGAAUUAUUCAUGAGAUGGGAAGUUGUGGAACGCAGGUUGUAUUGAAUUCAUGAUUCCGACUAGUAUUACAGUGUUAUGGGUGCACUUUGUAGAUUUGAGUAGGCUUGAAUAUAAUAAAAGAAUUUAGUUCAGCUCAGACUUACGUAGCUAGGGUUAUCAGUGCCCAUGUGAAUAUUUUUAAUUGCCUUAAGUGAAGUGCGAUAGUGAAGUGAUAUGUACAGUUGAGGGAGUAUUUGAGAAGUACAUCUAAGCUUGAAAGUAGCAGUUGCAUUGUUUAAGGGAUACCAAUCCUAUCCUAGCUUAUAUUUCGUAGGCGUAUGUUCUAUGUCAUAGAAUUUUAGCCGUGUUGGGAUUCCUUAUACAGAUUUCUAAUUCAGAUCAUGCUCAAAAUUCUUUGCUCUCUACUGUUAUUAGAAUUUCUUAGAAAAAAUUGUUGGAGAAAUUCUCUAGUUGAGUAUAAGCUUUUGGUAUGAGUUAAUCCAUAAAGCAACAAUUCAGUUUAGAAGUCAAACAUUUAAGUUUCUAUGGUUUUCCAUGUAUCCAUCUGGUCAUACUAUCCGAAGUCUCAUGAAUAUGGCUAUUCUAAGAGGUAAAAUGUUUGUAUUUUGGUAAUUUGUGAAUUCAGCUAAGUUCGCGCAUCACGCAUUAGUUUCAAAUUCCAGAUAUUCAGUCAUGAUUCAGGCUGUAAGUAUCCCGUGUAUCAUCUCAGUCCUUCCUUAGUAUUGCAACCAAGUCAAUUUCAUUCGGGGGACAAGAUAUCCCUAAGGGGAGAUGUACUAUAAUGCCCCGAGGUUUCAUGUCCUAAACCUCUCAACUUUUCUUCACGAAAUAAGAUCCAACUUGAAGUAAUGGGUACUCAUAAGUUAACUCUCUCAUUUCUAUCUCAGCUUUAUAACCAUUCUCAUAUCAUUGUAUACAUUCACGAAAUCAGUUCAGUCAUGUAUCAUGUAAUCAUAUUUUCAGUUAUGCAUGUUUAGUAGGUGAUCUCAGUUGCCAUAGUUCAGAAAUCUGAUCUUAAUUAGUCUCAUUCGAGGACGUAUGUUUCCAAAGGGGAGAUAUUUUAAUACCCCAUACUUUUUUUAGUUUAGUUCGGCUCCUAGUGCCUGCAUAAGAGGCUUGAAUCCUAAAAAUUUAACUAAGUGUUGGGGACUUAGUCAUUUUUUUAGGCCUUUUAACUUUGAGGAUAUUUAAAGUGGCCUUCCUGACCCCAAGACGUUGGUUUUCGAGUUAAUUCGUUUUCAGGGGUGUACGGAGCAUGUCUAGAAAAAGUUUUGGAUUUUUCGGAUGAGGAUUGGGUCAUGUUUGGAUUUCGAUUCUAGAAUCUCACCGUGAUAGUGGCAAGUCGCGAUGGUAAUAGUGAUGAUCCCUUCAUCACGUCGCGGUGUCCCAUUAAUCAGCAUUCCAGUUAUGAAUUUAAAUGUCUGAGGGGCAAUCAAGUCUUUUUCCAUCGACUCAAUUCGUAAAAACAUGAAUUUAAGCUUUAAUUAGGACAUUAUUGGCACAUAUUCUCUAAUUUUCUCUUAAAAAAAAACCUAAUCAUUCCCCCAAGUUCAAUUCCAUUUUUUUAUCUCCAAGAAAAUCAAGAACUCAAGUUUCCCAAUCCAAGAACUUUCAAGAAAGCUUUUAAGAUUGUGAUUCCCUUUCAAGCUUAAGGGUUUAAGGUAUGUGGGAUGUUCAUUCAUAUGACCUUUUCACCCAUAGAGUCUAAGAAUCUAUUUUUUAUGUUUCAAAUUAUGAAUUUACAUGUUUAUGAUGAACUAUCUCCAUGAAGCUUUAGUGAAUUAUGGUUAUAAAUUAUAUUUACAAGUGUUUUUCAUUGGAAUGAGCCCUUACACGUUUGAAUGAUGAUAUUUUCAUGUUAAAUCCCUAAUUCAUGGUUUUAGUAUUGUAACUAUGUUUUAAUUACAUGCUUUAUCCAUUUUCAUACUUAAGUUCACGACUCUUACGUGUUUGAUGAAAUGCCUAAGUGUUGAAUUUUGAACAAUGAUUCCCUAUUAUGGUUUCCAAGUUUUUAUAUGUCCAUGUUGCUAACUUUAUUCAACGUUGGAAAGUUAUGAAUACCCACUACAUAGCUGUUACCUAGUUUUAGUAUCUUCAGAAUGCUUUUAGACAGACCAUGAGCAUUAUCAUUCAGUUAGUUAUAAUAAUCAGUUGUUUGUUCAGUUAAGCUUAGUCAGUCCAGUAAUCAGUGUCAGUUCAGUUGGAAGUAGGAUUUAGCACCGAGCGAACCCAGGGAUGGGGGCUCAUCUGUCAGUAGAGGGUGUGACCUUUAGUAGUAGUCCCUAAGUUUCAGAACUACUUAGCCAGCGUUGGUUAGAGAUAUCAACCAGCCAAUUGAGAGUUAAUAAGGUGUUUCCCUGUCAGUUGAGGGUAAUACAUAUCUCAUUAGAGCACCUGCCAGUUAAGGGUGACUCAUUCAUCCUUCGGGACAUUAGUUUAGUGGACCCACACAACUAUUGUUAGUACUCGUGCCACGGUACUGAUACCCUUCCAAUUAGGGUCACAGGUUGGACCCCAAUUAGCUCAGAUUGGGGCAUAUCGAUUAGAUGAUACCUCCCACAGUCUCAGUUUAGUAUUCAGUGCAGAAUUCAGUUUCAGAUUUGCUUGACCAUAACAUACAGUUAUUCGUUAUUCAGUUACCAGAUUUCAGUAUUUUAGUGUACAAACUAUUUCAAAAAUAUGUUAUCAGUUCGGUUUCAUGCCAGGUCCCUCGACUACGGAGGCCAUUCACCUGGUGGGGAGAUUAGUAGAGCAGUUUCAAGAGAGGAAAAAGGACUUGCACAUGGUGUUUAAUGAUCUUGUGAAGGCAUAUGACAGAGUUCCCAGAAAGAUUUUGUGGAGGUGCUUGAAGGUUAGAGGGGUGCCCGUGGCGUACGCUAGGGCGAUUCAAGAUAUGUAUGAUAAUGUAAAGACUCGUGUGAGGAUGGUAGGAGGUGAUUCAGAUCACUUUCUAGCUUUGAUAAGUUUGCACCAAAGAUCGACUGUUAGCCCUUUUUUAUUUGCCUUGGUGAUGGAUGCGUUGACUCAGUAUAUUCAAGCUGAGGUGCCUUGGUGUAUGUUAUUUUCUGAUGAUGUGGUAUUGAUCGACGAUACUCCGGGAGGAAUUAAUGAUAAGUUAGAGAUUUGGAGACAGGUCCUUGAGUCUAAAAGAUUUCGAUUGAGCAGGACCGAGACGGAGUACUUGGAGUGUAAUUUUAGUGAUAUAUCGCAGGAGGCUGAUGUGGUUGUGCAGCUGGACUCUCAGGCCAUUCAAAGGAGAAAGAGUUUCAAGUGUCUGGGGUCUAUAAUUCAGGGCAAUGGCGAGAUUAACGAGGUUGUGACGUAUCAUAUUGGGGCAGAGUGGUUGAAAUGAAGGCUCGUUUUGAGAGUUUUAUGAGAUAAGAAGGUGCCCCCAAAUAUUAAGGGUAAGUUUUACAGAGUGGCAGUUCGAGCGGCUAUGCUGUAUGGAGCGGAGUGUUGGCUAGUUAAGAACUCCCACAUCUAGAAGUUUAAGGUGGUAGAGAUGAAGAUGUUUCGAUGGAUGUGUGGCCAUAAUAGAAAAGAUAGGGUGAGAAAUAAGAUUAUUCGGGAGAAGGUGGGUGUGGCUUUGGUGGAGAAAAAUAUGCAAGAAGUACGGCUACGUUGGUUUGGGCACGUGAUGAGAAGAGGCUCUGAUGCUCCAAUAUGGAGGUGUGAGUCAUUGGCUAUGGAUGAAUUUAGGCGGGGUAGAGGUAUACUGAAGAAAUAUUGAAGGAAGGUAAUUAGGCAUGAUAUGGAGCAGUUACAACUGAGAGAGGACAUGAUCCUUGAUAAGAAGGUGUGAAGGAUGAGGAUUAGGAUAGAGGGUUAGAGGGUGAGAUUUUUUCUUUAUUUGUGUUUGAAGUUUCUUGUUCGUGGCUGUUGAGUGAUGUCUAUGUUUUCGCCUAGAUAGGUUUUUCAGUAGUAUCUGGUGGCUGUUAUAUUACCUUGUGGAUACUAGUGUUAGUUUAUUUUGCAUAAUGUACUAGUCUAUAUGUAUUUAUGUUUUAUGAUUUGCUAUACUGUUAUCGAUCCUAAUCCGGAGGUCUAUCGGAAACAUCCUCUCUACUUCUUCGGAGUCUGCAUAUAUUAUACCCUCCCCAGACCCCACUAUGUGGGAAUACACUGGUUAUGUUGUUGUUAUAUGUUUGGUCAUGCAUUCUCAAACUUUACAACUUUCACGCAUUUAUAUUCAGUUAUCUCAUGCUAUUCAGUCAGUCUUUACUUCAUGCACAUAAACUCAUAUAUUUCAGUCUAACCUCAUCUAAUAUACUAGUACAUUCAAAGUACUGAUCGAAUACUCUUCUUUGCACUAUGAUGUUUAAUAUCAUAGGUUUGGACGCUCAGUUUCCCGACCGCGCUUAGAUAGUUCAGCUAGUCAGCAGCAGCAAUAGUGGUGAGUCCUCAUAUAAUGAGGAUCUGUUAUGUUUCUUUUAGUAUUUCCGCAUUUCAUUUCAGUUAGACAGUUGGAGUUAGUUAGGGUCUGUCCCAUCAAUUCUUUUCAGUUAGUUUAGAGGCUUUCAGACAUUUUAGACAGUUAGUCAAUUUAUCAGUUGUUUUACCAGUCCUUUUAGUAUGUCUUCAGAUGUUCAGACUAAUGAUUUAAAUUAUAUUUUCAGUAUUUAAAACCUUGUGGCUUUUAUCAGUUAGUUCUGCACAUGUGCAUUUUGUUACUUUAUUCAUUGCCCACAGCAGGUACGAACUCUUGGGUUAGCUUGUGGUCACUUGUGGUCGUAAGCACUAUUAGCGCGACUAGGGGAUAGCCUCAGGUCGUGACACUCUUCUUGUACAUUGUCCCCUUCCACAAAAUAUAAAGCACCUUGUUUUGUCCCGUUAUCAAACCAAAAAUUGGAGUUCCCUAAUCUAAUCUGCCAUCAUAUAUUGUGUUCCACUUCUUCCCUUACAUCCACUAUCUUCCUCUAAACAUGUGAAGCCCCUACUUCCGUAUCCAGUAUUGGAUGUAACUUUUUACAAUACUUGUUUCCAUAAAAUCUGCCCACAUAGAUAAAGUAGAGAUCCUAAAGUUCCACCACAACUGAGCAAAAAGAGCCUUUGAAAUAGUAUGUAAGGACCUUAAUCCUGUACCACCCUCUUCCAGUGGGAAACACAAGUUUUCCCAUGACACCCAGUGUUUAUUUCUAGCUCCAGUAGAAUUCGUCCAAAAAAAUUUAGAAAAAGUUCUACGAAGUUGGUUAAUAACUCCCACUGGAGGAUUCAUAGAUCAUAAAAGAUAGAUAGGUAUAGAUUGAGGAAUAUGCUUAUUCAAUAUGUAUCUACCCCCAAAAUAUAACAACUUAUUCUGCCACAUACUCAAUCUCUUGAACACCUUUUUAAUCAAUUCUUCAAAAUAGCCCUUAUUCUUCCUACUGUAAAACACAGGACGGCCUAGAUAGACAAAAGAAAGGGAUCCUUGCUUUAUUCCAGUAAUUCUUCUAAUUUGAUUACUAACACCUACUGGAACUUUAUCAUCUAAAUACAAGAAACUCUUAUCCAAAUUGAUUAACUGAUCUGAUACCUUUUCAUAUUUUCUUAGUAUAUGCAUCAUCUUCUUUAUUGAUCUAGGCUGCCUUGAGCAGAAAAGAAUUAUAUCACCAGCAUAAGAUAAGUGGUUGAUCUUUGGACUCUAUUUUGGCAUGUCAUAACCCAUGUACUAAAUCCUCAAAUAAGUCAUUCAAACUUCUAGUAAGCACCUCUAAUGCAAUGGUGAAUAGUGUAGGAUACAAAGGAUCUCCUUGCUUCAGUCCCCUAGAUGAUUGAAAGAAUCCAUAAGCUUGUCCAUUAAUCAAGAUAGUAUACCAGUUAUUACUAACCAGUCUCACUAUUAUAUCAAUAAUUCUUUCUGAAAAACCAAACUUCCUUAGGACCUGCACCAAGAAUUUCCAUGAAACCCUAUUAUAUGCUUUAGCCAUAUCCAUCUUUACCACCAUAUUGUGCAACUUAUUCCUUCUAUUAAUACCCCUUAUGAUUUUCUGUGCAAGGAGAACAUUUUUUGUAAUGUUCCACCUUUUCACAAAUCCAGCUUGACUAGGAGAGAUCAGUCUAGGAAACACCUUUUCUAUUCUAUCAUGAAUAAGUCUUGAAAUAAUCUUAUUAAUAAACGUACUUAGACUGAUAGGUCUCAGAUCACCAAAGUUCUUCACCAUCUUUUUUGAGGGAUUAGUACCAGAUUAGUAUGUGUUACAUACCUUGGAAGCUCAAAUCCAUAGAAAAAGCUUUCACCAUAUUUAUAAUAUCUUUACUAAUUAUCCCCCUGCUUGCUUGGAAAAAAUGUCCUGAGAAUCCAUCUGGUCCAUUAGCACUAUCAGCACUGAGUGAGAACGCCACUUUCUUAACCUCCUCUUCAACUAGCAUAUUUUCCACUUCCAAAUUAUCCUCUUCCUAGAUCAGGCAUGGAAUAUAAUUAAUCAUAUCAUAAUUGGCUGGCUCUGGACCCUUCUUGAAUUGUUCCUUAAACACAUUUAUUGUUUCUUCACCAAUAUUCUGAGAUGAGUCGAUCCCUUGCAUUGUGAGAAUUUCUUUUAUCUGCAUUUCCCUUCUUUUUCCUUUCAUAAAUGCAUGUAAAAUUUUUGUGUUCCUAUCACUAUUUCUAAACCACCUCAUCCUAAUUUUUUAUUUCCAAUAUUCCUCCUCAAUUUUCAUUUUUUUUCAAGUUUGCUUCAGCUAAUUUCAGUUUAGUUAUACUUUCCUCAUUAGUAUGCACUUCAACUUGUAUAUCCUUCACCUUUAUAAUAUCCUCCAGAGUUGCAAUCUUUUGAAAUAUGUUACCAAAUGUCUUUUUGCUCCAAGUAUUCAUACUGCUCCUGACUUUCUUCAUUUUUACCUGCAUAAUAGUAAAUGGUGAUCAUGUUACCUCAAUACCCCAACUUUCUUCCACCGCUUGAUUAAACUUUUUGUGUUUUGUCCUAAAGUUCAGGAAAUGGUUUCAUAAUCUGAUCCUGAGCAUCAUUGCAUAUCACAUGCAAUGGUUCAUGAUCUGAACUUUGUUUGAUAAGAUGAUGUACCUCACUAUUCGAAAGCAACUGCAUAAAUUCAUUAUUUCUUAGAACUCUAUCAAGUCUUUUGAAAAUAUUGUCUUCAGUUAUUCUUUCAUUCCGCUAAGUGUAGGUGUUUCUAGUGUAUCUAAUCUCAUUAAGAGAGCAAACACUCAUACAAUACACAAAAUUAGUUGUCUCUUAUUGCGUGACUUGUAUACCUCCAAACUUUUCUAAUUCAUUAGCCAUGUUGUUGAAAUCCCCACCAACUAACCAUGGCAUAUUAGUUUGUUCAACAAUAUUUUUAAGAUUUUCCCAUAAUUCCAAUCUGUCCAAUGCACUACAUCUAGUGUUACUAUUUUGAUCUUGAAAUAUUUUGUAUCACCCCUAAGCUGAUAAGUCAUUAUGAGUUGCUGAAAUAUAUGCACACACUCUUUUUCUUCCCACUUUUCAUCCCAGAAAAUUUAAAUUGUUGAUGAGGAACUCACUCUAGCAUUUGAAAACCCUAAUUUUAUUCUGCAACUUUAUAUUUCUGAAGGGCUUUGAAAAGGUUCAAAAAGUGCAAUAUAUGAAUACUGGUGCCUUCUCUGCAGAUCUAUAAGCCUCUCAAAAGUAUUUUGAGUUCUUACAGACCUGAUGUUCCAUAAAAACACUUUGUUAAUCAUUAAUCAGAGGUAAAAGAUGAACCUUUCUUCCUUCUUGUAUUCAUUUGUGAUUGAAGCAACCUCUGCUUAGUACCUUUUUUUGUCUUUCCUUUUAGUUUUUCAAUUUUUCUAGGAUAUAAAUCCCUACUUCUACUUAUCUCUUCUACUUCAUUAUUCUACUUUUCUGCAAUUUCAUGUUCAUUUAGAGUGUUUAUUUUUGAACUUUGUUGUUGUGCUGUCUUCUCGUCUUCACUUCUUCCUGACUGCUAUUCAUGGUUACUAUUUUUCUGUGAAUGAGUUAUUUCUUCUCCCUUGUUUGUUCCUUCUUCAUCGGGUACACUCUCUUGAACAUGUUUUGAAUUUUCUUAUACUGAACUUUUUUUUUCAUUUUGUAUGCUUUUUCCUGGUGACUUUGAUGAAUUUACUGACAUUACUCCCUUUUUAUCAACAUUAUUAACUUUCCCAGAUAACUUCUCACCCUUAUGCUCCUUGCUUUUGCUACUGGAACCUAUAUUCAGUUUCUUCUCCAGAUAAUUCUCUGUUUGUUUUUCUUGAUUUUCACUCUCCUUUUUGUUUUGUUGCUCCUUAUCUCCCUUAUCCUCUUUCGAGUUCUGUCCAUUGUCCCCCAAAGCUUCAAAUUUAUUAUCAGUUGCCACGUCUAGUUAUUUAGGGUUCCAUGUCUUUUUCAUUUUUUCCCUCUGAUUUUGUCUACUUCUUCUAUAUCCACCUUUUCUUCUUUGUUCUUGAAACUCAUUAUUGAACUUCUUUUUUCCCCAUCUUCCAAUGUUGUUUUGUCCUCCUCAUUACGCACUUCCUUCAGCUUGUCAUGGUGUUUUUCUUCUUGUGAUUUCUCUUUAGUAUUUUCUUCUUCUUCUUUAGGAUAUAAAUCAGGAUGAAGGAUGUAACAUUUCUUCUUAUUAUGAUCCUAUAACUUGCAAUUUUUGCAAUAUUUGGGCACAUAAUCAUAUCUAAUAUUCACCCAGUUCUCCCUAAUUUCUCCUGUCUUUAUUCUCAUACCUACAUUAGUUCUUUUCGAAAAUUCCCCAGAAGAUAUACUUCCACCUUAACUCUAGCACAACUUGACCUUGUUUUAUUUUUGGUAGCAAGAUCAACUUUCAAUGAUUUCCCUAUUGCUGCCGCCAAUGAAAACACUGCCUCCUUUCCAAAAAAAUUGUGGUAGAGCAGAGAAAGAUAUUCAUGCAAUAGCAAUAGAUGUUUCCUCCUCAGGUUUAAACAAUGGAUCCCACUUCAAAGUACGCAUUGGGUAUGACCAAUAUUUAUGUAUUAUAUAGAAUUGAGGCUUGGAGAGCAAGUGCACAUAAUCAUCUAAUCUCGUGGCUCUAAUUAAAAUGCAUAUUGAAGGUCUUCGUUAAUAAUCAUCUGAUGAAUCUCCUCUUUCUCCCAUACCACCCUAGGCUCUCCAUGCAAAUAAGCAAUCUGCUUCAAAGGGUUGGGCUUAUGAUUCUGUGUUAUUGAUUUGAUGGUGUCAGCAUACAUAGGUUUAUUAUUUUAUUUAACUCCAAGUGUAGAAGAUGAUGCUAGCCCAGUUUCCACUAAAUGAGGAGGUUGGCCAGCAGUCACUAAAUCCAUCAUUCGAUCAAAUUUUGAUCAACGUAUGGUACAACGAUGGAUUUAGGUUUUUCCGGCUCUCUCCGUGAAGUUGUAUCACCAUCUAUCUUUUAUCUUUAUUUCUUUGUAUCGUACUUUAUUUUCGUUUUUGUUAUUUUACUUCUAUCAUUAUAAGUCAUGAAUCAAAAGUUAAAAGGUGAUCAAUUUAUAACUUUGGACUGAUUUAGCUUAUUAGAACAUUUGAUAUUCACCAAUAAAAAGUAUUUAUAAACUAAUUUUAAUAGCUUAUAAUCUUAGUCAGACACCUUUUGCGUAGUAAAUAUUAAACUCUAUGAAUGAAAAUUUUAUUUCCAUCACUAAAUAUAUCUUUGCAUUUAACGAUUAAAAAUGUCCCUUUUAAAAUCGAAGGGCCAGUCUGGUUGAAAAAGAAUUAUCUUUAGUUAUUCCAUCAUGUAUAUGAGAUAACUUAUUCCAUCAUUAUGGUAUAAAUGAUAAAAUAAAUAAUUUUGAUACUAGCUAAUACCUCACACUAAACAUGAAGUAAAAUAAUCUAUUUUGUCUUAAAAUUAUUUAUCUCUUAUUGCUCACAACCCCUCAAUCUCUUAGUCACUCUUGAUGGCUUUUCUUCUUUCUUUGAUUUGUUUGCAUAGUGACAUCUUUUAUUAUUUGUUCAAAAUGUUAUCAUGGUUCUUUUGUCUUUGUCAUAUGCUAAUUCUUAUUUGGAAAAGUUAAAAUUGGACCUCAUGUUUAUGUCUUUCUCUUGUAAUUGACUCUUACUUUUCUGUUACGUCUAUUCAUGCCACCUGUGAGAUUGAUAUCCAACCGAUUAAAAUAUAUAACUUUUAGUUGAGAUCAUAUAAGUGUUGAUAAUAUUAGAAAAUAUAAUCCUGAUAUCCUUUCGUGCUCACCAUCUAAAAAUUGUGAUCAAAUCCAAUAUAUUAAUUCACAUCUACAUAUGAAUUUACAAAAACGUAUAUGUAAUAAUCCAUCCAUUUUUUCUUAAUCGAGUUCUCAAAUACAAUAAUAUUUGUUCCUAUUCAAAAACGUAUAAUUAUCUCAUUUAAAACUUUUAAUUUUUCAUUAGAUCAGUUAAUUUAUCAUGUAAUUAUAUUCUCAACAUACUUCUUCCAACCGCAUCCUUUUCGUGACAUUUGUUGUGACUGGACUUGGCCAACUUGUAUUUAAGGUCCUUUUCAAGAUUAAUUUCUUUUCCGCUUUCUUGAUAUUCUUGGAGAAAGCUCAAAUGGAGACUAGAGUUGUCUAAUAAUGCAAUCACAAGUUAAGUCGAUGUCACUAUAAUUAAUCAAGGAAAAAAUUGGUGAAAAUCAUUUCCCCCUCAACUUUACUUUAAAAAUAAAAUUUUCCUCUCAAUUUUAAACAAUGAACAUUCUCUCUCCUUUUUCUUACUUGUCUUUUUUAAAUACCUAUUUUACCCUUACACUAUUAAUCUUUAUUUUUCUUUACCUCUUUAAAAUUAUUAUAUUUUUUAUUUUUAAUACAUAUAGUAAAUUUUUAUAAAUAAAAAGAAAAUUAUUUUCUAGAUAAAAAACGUGAGAAACAUAUAUCAAGUAUGUAAGUUAGUGAUGUUCUAAAUGAAAUAAAUGAUCAUGAUAUGAAAAUUUAUUUAUUAAUAAUAAUUAAAACAAUAAUAUCUAUUUAUACUAGUGAAAAUAACAAAUAAAAAUAAUUUCAUAAACAUAUUUCAAUGCAUGCAAUAUAUAACAUAUAACAAAAAUAGAGAUAUAUUUUAUACUAAAUUAAUUCAAAAGUUUACUUAUAUUAUAAAUAUAUACUCGCUCUGUUCACUUUUACUUGUCAUUAUUUCGCUUUUUGAGGUCAACCUGCAUGAAAUUUGACCAAUAUUUUAAAAUGUAUAAUUUAAUAUUUAAAUUAAAAAUUUAGAUGAUCAGAAAAUAUAUGAAAAAUGCUAUAAGUUGCAAUCCUGCUUCAUAUUAAUAAAAUGAAAAAAUAUAUCUUAAAAUAUUUGUUAAAAUUUAUGCAGGUUGACCUGAAAAAAACGAAAAGUGGCAAGUAAAAAAGAACCUAGGGAGUAUAUCAAAACUCAUGUGCAUAUAUAUAUAUACACAUACACGCACACACUUAAUGAAUGUAAAAUAAGAGAUAAGGGACAAGGUACUCCUAAACUAUAUCUGAAGUUGUUAUGACAUACUUAAACUUUAAGGGAGACCUAUUACCAUCUAAACUCAUUUUUGCUAAUAUGACCGUCAAGUAUUAAAAUAUUUUUGUACUUCUUUUGGGGGAGACAAAAAAUACUUAUGCGUUAUCACAAUAAAAUAACAAUCAUAAAAAUUAACAUUAACUUUUGUGACAAGUUCAUUAAAAAGGUUAUAUUAAAAAAUUUAAAUAAAAAUAUAUAAAUACUUGACUAAAAUAAAUAAUGUAUACUAUAAGAAGAUAUCGAUAAUGUCAACGUUAAAAUAGACAUUAUCAAGGUAAAGGGGGGAGGGAGGGGAGAAUGUUUAUUAUUCAAAGUAGAGGGGUGAGUUUGAUUUUUAAAGUAAACUUGAGGGAGGAAAUGAUUUUCACCCAGUAAAAAAUACAUAAAGUAGCAUUUUUAAGUAUUAAAUUAUAAAAAAUAACAACGCUUUUAUCAAAUUAUAUUUUGUAGCAUAUGUAUUUGUAUGCUGUAUUUUUGUAGCAACAGUUUACAAAAAUACAAAAUACAUAUCGAUCAUAAGUGUAGUAAAAAUUAUAUGUAUUUGUAUUUUUGUAGUAACAGUUUAUAAAAAUACAAAAUACAACUUGCUAUAUUAUGUAAUUAUGAAACUGUUGCUAUGAAACUCAUAAUUAAGGGGAUAAGUAUGUUGUUUCUGAAUUUUGCUCCAUUAAUCAAUUAUAAUAUGGAUUAAUUAGACUAGACACCAUAAGUGAAACAAUCACAUAACUCAACAUCUCAAAGAAAAGAAAAACAAAUUAAAUAAGCUCGACUUCAUAAGAUCCUAAUCAUCCAUCAAAUACUUUAGAAAAUUAAUUUGAGUUUCAAUGAAAUGAUUGAGAUUUCUCCACUUUUAAUCAAAAGUGCAGGUCCAAGUCACCGUAAAUAAAAAUAAUCUUAUUGGGAGCUAGCGUCACCUCCAAACAUAAGUCCUAUAAUGUGUAAAUUCAAAUUUAAUUGAAUCUAAUACGAGUAUCAACCACCAAUCAAAGAAAAAGAAGGCGUAGGGGACAACAACGUAACUAUGGAGUCAUUGUGUCUCAUUAAAAAGAUACUCUAAUAGUUUUGCUACUAUAAUAUACCAUUCUCAAAUUAAAUGGGCAAAAGAGAUUAACACAGUACACAACUAAAUGUAGAUAAUGUAACAUCCAUUGCUGGAAUUUCUGAAAAAUUCUACAAAAAUAUCCAUUGUAACUAGCUUGAUGUGACAAAAAAAAAUAAUUGUCAAUACAUCUCAACGAAAUUUUUAACUGCAUCUGAUAUAUAAAUAAGUCAGUAAAAUAUUAAAAGAAAAAUAUCUCCAUCGAGUAGCAUUCGAAUAUGAUUAUAAAAAGAAUAGAAAUCUCACGAUCUAUAGACAUUGAAUGAUCGAGAGGAAUUCCAUCGUUGUUGUUAUGUUUCAUUAUUAAUCGGACUAUUGCUAUGUUUGAUAAUUGGACGCCGAUAGCAAGGUGAUCCCAAAGGGGUGACCUGAGAACACAAGUACAUUUCGGGUCUAGAAAUUGAAUUGAAAAAGACCAAAAUGCACUUGUGUUCUCAUGUACACUCCUUUGGAGUGCAUCAGUGUUCAUCUUCAUUUACAAAUCCACAUUAUAAUAACGAAAAUACAUAAGACAUAUAUUGGCCUUUUAUUUAUAGUGUUUAUGUGAACAAAUGGGAGCAUCACAAUGUGGUCAUUCUAUCAACACUGAGAGAAUUACAUGUUGUCAUUUCUUUGGAAAAAUAAUAAUUAAUAACCUGAUCUAGAAUAAUAAUGUAAAAUUUGCUUAGUUUAAUAAGAGAAAUUUGACUAAUUUGUGUGUUACAUAAGUUAAUUAUGUCACUUGAAAACAAUAUAAAUCCCGCAGUCUGAAGCUUAAUUACAAAAAAUCUUGAUAUUUGCAUAAUUACGGAAAUAUCAAUUUUGAUUCUAUCGAGAUAUAUAAUUAAUUUCUGAUACAUCCAACGAAGAUAUAUUUUUUUUCUUUGUAAAGAUACAUAAUUAACUCCUGAUACAUUUUCUUGAUUUUGAAUGUGUCGAGAUACAUAAUUAGCUUCCGAUAUAUAAUUAGUUGAAAUUUUUGUAAUUGUUAUGUAAGGGUAUGAAUUUGUGUAAAUAUAAUAAGUUAAGGUAUUUAUUUAUAUUAUUUUUCCUUAUUUCUAUGUAAUUUAUGAGUUCACUAACUAAUUUACCCAAAUCAUUUAUUUAUGUGUCAAUUAAUUUUUGUAGAUUAUUUCAAUUCAGUCUUUUAAAGAUAUUCCAUUUCAGUUCAUCAGUUUUCAUUUUACCAAUGGUUAAUUUUACUAAUUUGCCAUUUAUUCAAUUGAUGAAUGUUAAAAUCAUUUAUGAAAAAUAUUCUUACAUGUCUAUAUCUAUAAUAUAUUAACAGUGUGAAGACCUUUAGAAAAAUGAUUUGAACUUUUUGUGCUUCAUUAAAGCACUCUCCUUUGGACAAAACUGUCUUUUCACUAUUUUCUUUAAUUUAUUAUUUAAUUAUUUUUAUUAUAUUUACUAGACUCCUAAAAUAUAUGAAAAGAAAAUCAAUUAAUAUUUUUCUUUGUAGUGAUCAAUUAGAAAAAUAUUCCUAAAAUAGGAUAGAAAAAUACUCAUAAAAUAGGAUUUUAUUAAGUAAAUAUUUCUAUAAAUAUUGAGAUGCAUGUUAAACGAGAGAAGAAAUUGUUUUACUUAUUGUAAAAAUAUGGUUGAUGCUCAUCUAACUUGAUUCGGUUGCAUGUCUAGAUUGAAGGAUGCUUAAUUUUCUAAACCCCAACUUCUUCACUAUUUUUGUCAACAUAAUAAAAUUCUACGCUUGUAUAUAUAUAUCUUCUUUAUUUUCAUUCAGGUCAUUCUUUUAUGUCAAAAUUUUUGCUCAGACAAAAAUUAUUUUCAUCAAAACUGAAGCUCUGUAAUCACUAUUGUAUUAUUUUGUUGUAUUUACAAGUAGUAGAUGAAUGUAGGGCGGCUUUGAGGAUUUUUUUAGGUAAAGGUUAGGUUUAAUUGUAUUGUUUUUAUAUCUCUAUUUUGAGAUUUUUUUUGUAUAAAGGUAAAUUUUAGUUGUAUUAUUUUGAUAUCUCUGUUGUUGUAUUAUUUGUUAUAGUUUACAGGUGGUAGAUGAGUAUCAGAUGACUUUUGAGAAAAUUUUUGUGUAAAGGUUAAAUUAAAUUAUACUGUUUUGAUGUUUCUAUCAUUUUAUUGUAUUGUUGCAGUUUACAUGAGGUAAAUGAAUUUCGAUCGACUUUGAGAAAUUUUUUGGUAAAGAUUAGGUUUAAUUAAAUAAAUUCUCCAAAAGAUGUUGAAUUUAAUUAUUAUAUUCAUCUUUAUUAUUUAAAAAAAUAUUCUAUUUAGUGUAACAUUUAAAUACAUAAAGUGAGAUACACGCGCGAGGCUCUUACACCAAAACUAGUUAAAUGGAAUAGCACAGGACAUGCGAAUUGAUUUGGAACUGGUAAAUUUGUGUAGGCCAUCAUAGAAUAUUAAUUGCAGAAGUAAAAUAGAAAAUUUUUAAUUAAUUUUAUUUUAAUUAAGUAAAUGAAAAAGUCAUUUGAAACAUAUAUUUAUAAUAAAGUGAUCAACUAAAAUUAGUAUGAGGGGAGCAUAAAGGAUGGUUAUAGAAGUCAUUUUUCCUAUUCAAAUGAUAACGAAUGAACUCCAACAUGGGUUGUUAUGUAGUGAAUGAGGCUGCUCCAUCCUUAAUCAGGGGUUGAGGGUUCGACCCUGGGUAUGAAGAAAACUCUAUUGGGAGCUUUGCCACCUUAAUGGGCCCUGCAACGCACGAUUCAAAUUAGCCGGGGCUCCAAUAAAAAUACCGAACAUUGAAUGAGAAAUAAAAAAAAAAAAACAAGAUAAUGAAUGGACAAGUUUGCCUAAUUAUUUUUUUCCCUAAUCAAAUGGACCCUCGUUCUAAGGCUAUCCUUUUUGUAUUGAAGGAGUGACAUGGGACUCCACCUAGUAAGUGUCAUUUAGAAAUGGUCAAACACAUCAAUAAAUAUCUCAAUUUAGAAUAAUUUUUUAUUUUAUUAAUUUAAAUAAAUGAUGUUUAUUUUAAAUAUUUAAAAUGAUUAUAAAUUGUGUUAUUUUGACACUUUUUAUUAACAUGAUAAGAGUAUUUUAUACUCACUUUUUGACGUGUGACAAUCUUAUUUUAACCUAUUUUUAAUUUAAUAGUAUUAUUUUCUUCUUCCUCAUUUUUUUUUAUUUCACUAUUUUCUAUCAUUUUUUCAAACUCAAACUCCUUUAGUGAUACUUCAUAACUCCCUUUAUCUCUUAGAUAACAAUUUAUUUGAAUGUUUUUUCAUAUCACUUCUAAAAUAUAACCUAAAAAGGGAAGAAAAUCUAAAACUAAAACUAAACAAAAGAUAUUUUCUUUCUUUAAUGGUACUUCUAAUAAUAUAACCCAAAACUAAAUCAGUAAUCAAAUUAACAGUGAUGAGGAAUAGAAGGGCGGGCUUCGCUUUAAUAGGCAAAGAUAGAGAAAAAAAAUUAAUAAAAUUGAGUUCCUAGUUUAAACACGAAGAGUAAAAUAUCCAACCUCCAUUAAUGAAGUACGAGCUUUUCAACCUCGUUUAAUGGAGUUUAAGCUCGAAGAAGAUAUUGGUUGGAUAGGGAAGAUGUCGUGGUGAAAAUUGGUUAAAGUAAGUUUUUUUUUAAUUAUUUGAUCAAAAUAUCACGUGUCAUUAAUUCAUUGGAUACCUUGUCAUGUGUUUUGGCCUUUUUCAAAAAAUAAAAAUAAAAAUUGUGGGUAUAUAUAAGAGAUAAUACAUCAAAACACCCCUAACUAGUAGCCAAAACUUACUUUAGACCCUAAACUAAUCGGGCAAUUAUUCACCCCCCUUAACAACUUUCAAGUGAAUUUUUUUCCACCCUACAAAAAUUAUACCAUUCUCACUACGGAGAGUGAAGUACACACGCCCCACGCCAUUGUCAAAUUACUGCCAUAUCAGUGUCAUGUCAUUGCCACGUAAGAAAUUGUAAUUGUUUUAAAAAAAUAAUCCAAUACACAUAUUAUUUUUAUAUUUUUUUUUUAAAAAAGCAAAAAAUAUAUUUGUACUUUAUAUAUAUAUAUAAUUAUUUUUAAUAUAUAUAUAUAAAAAUUUCCCCUAUUUCUUUUUUUUCUCNNNNNNNNNNNNNNNNNNNNNNNNCGGCCCGUUCCUCCUCCUUCGAUUCUUUAACAGCCCCCCAGCCCCUAUUUCUCUUCCUCCUUUAAUUUCUUUUUCACCAUUAACACCAAUAACUUGAUUCGAAUUUAACAAAAAUUUGAUAAAUAACUUGCUAAUGUAGAUUAAGCCAUUACAAAGGUCUAAAUAAACUCAUCCACAAUAAUUCCAGAUAAUUCCAAAGGUCUAAAUAAAAAUAAUUCAAUUACAAUGGUCUAAAUAAAAAUAUUAUUAAAAUAAUAAAUAAGGACAAAACUAAUAAAUAUAAGAAAAAAGUAAUAUGCAUGUGUAACCAUAUUAUUGCAUUAUAAAAAUGAGAAAAAAACUAAUAAAUAGAAGGAAAAAAUAAUAUGCAUGUGUAACCAUUUUAUUGCAUGCUAAAAUUAUCGAAAUAUCCUUGAUAUUCAUUUAAUAAGGAACAAAAAAAAUAUUUAUAAAAAAAUACUACCAUGUAUAAUUUAAUUACAAAGAUCUAAAUCAAAAUAUUAUUAAAACAAUACAUGAAGACAAAACUAAUAAAUAUAAGGAAAAAAAAAUAUGCAUGUGUAACCAUUUUAUUGCACCAUAAAAAUGAGGACAAAAUUAAUAAAUAAAUAAAAAUCAUAUGCAUAUGUACCUAUUUUAUUUACUACUAUAUAUAAGUGAAGUUUGGAGUGACUAAAAUUACUGAAAUACCCUUGAUAGUCACCACAACCUUCACGUAUAUAUAUCGAAAAAUCCUUGGUAGUCAUUUAAUAAGGAACAAAAAGAUAUUUAUAAAAAUAUAUUACCAUGUAUAAUUCAAUUACAAAGGUAUAAUAAAAACAUUAUUUAAAUAAUACAUGAGGACAAAACUAAUAAAUAUAAGAAAAAAGAAAUAUGCAUAUGUAACUAUUUUAUUGCAUCAUAAAAAUAAGGACAAAACUAAUAAAUAUAAGAAAAAAAUCAUAUGCAUGUGUAACCAUUUUAUUUACUACUAUAUAGAAGUAAUAGUUAGGGUGACUAAAAUUGUCGAAAUACCGUUGAUAGUCACCACAACCUUCACUUACAUAUAGUAAGUAAAAAAUUAAUAAUAUAAUUAUAAUAAUAAAUAGAAUAGAAUAGAAAUAGAAAUAAUAAUAGUAAUAGUAAUAUUCUACCACUAAUAAAGUAAAAAUUUGAUACUAUUAAAAGACAAAUUAGUAGUAUUACCAAACUUUUACUUAAAUAUUAGUAGGAAAAAAUAAUAAUAGUAGUAAUAGUAAUAGUAAAAAAAAAGUAAUAAUAAUAGUAGUAGUAGUAGUAGUAGUAAUAGUAAUAGUAAAAAAAUCAAUAAUAAAAUAAAUAAAUAAUAAUAAUAAUAGUAGUAGUAGUAAUAGUAAUAGUAAUUAAAAAAAUAAAAUAAUAGCAAGUAGGCACUAAAAGACAAAAUAUUAGUACCAAAACUCUUCAUUUAUAUAUAAGAGUAAAAAGAAUAAGAAUAAGAACAAUAAAUAGAAAAAUAAUAAUAACUAAAAAUUACAUAUAUACAUAAGGUAACUUUACCUUAUUACAUAAAAUCCCAUAUUGGAAAAGAAAUUACAAGAAUCCCAAAGUAAUGACUUAAAUCCCUUAAGUUCACCCUUUCUCUCUCAUCCCCCUCAUACAUAUCAAAAUACCAUAUUUUGCUCUUAUUUUAGUGCACUGAUUUUUGCUCCAUAUAUAUGCUCCUUUAUUUACGCCUACAAUCAAGCUAAUGUAAUAUUAAUACUCUCUCACCCUCUCCUAUUUGCGUCACUUUUAUAAUUGAAAUUGAAGAUGUACACUUUCAAUUCACGUAAUAAAGGAAAUUGAAUCAUUCUUUUUCCUUAUUAUCGUGUAGCCAAUGUAAUGUUACAAUAACACUAAUUUUUUCUUAAAAUUAUUAUAAUCUUGUAGAUAAUUAAUGUAAUUAAGAAGUUCUUAUUACAUUUAAGAGGCAUUUUAUGUAUUAUUUGGUAUUAUAUAAUUAAAAAGUAUUAAUAUCAUAUAAGGCUACACCUUAUGAUAAGGAUACAGAAGUAUACAUGUUUAAUGUUAAUACUUAAAUAUAUAGUGUGACAUUAUACAUUAUUACAGAUUAUUUUUUAAAUGUAUAAUAUUCCCACAUACAUGCGCAACUGUUGUUUUCUUUUAAAUUCCAACUUACCGUUAUUUGCAUUGAUUCAAUAAAUACAUCACAUAUUGAAUAAUAAAACUGAAUAUAUCAACUGUAUAAUAUAUAUUAUUCUCAUUUAACUAUUUUGUUAACUGAUGUUUAUUUUUUAAUGAAUUUUAAAUUAUUUAUAAUAAAUUUAUAUGAUUUUGUGAAUGAAAGAUAAUUUCUUUCGUCAAAACAUACUUUGGAAAUAAAUUUUCUAGGAGUUUAAUGGAUCAUAUUAGUGUGAACACAAAUAAUUCAUACGUAUUAAUAUUACUCCUACUAAAGUAAAGGAAAGAGAAUGAUAAACAAAUACUUUCACUAGAUUUUAUAUUAUUUUAUUUUGUUGUUAAAUAAUUUUUAAAAAGGUUUUAAUUGUUUAUGUAAUUUAUUACUAUUAAAAAUAGUAUAAGAAGGAAAUAAUAAGACUUUAUUAUCUGUUAAAAUGAAUGAAAAAACAUAAAAUAUUGUAAAUGAGAACAAUUAAUAGAAUGUUUAAGAUUUUUUUUGAAUUUAAAUUUCAGUUACUAUAUUUAAUCAUACAUCACAUAAUCAUAAGUAAUUAACUGCGUUAAUUAAAGUAGAGAAAGAUAGUAUCUGAUUUUUCUUUCCAUAAAUAUAGGCAAAUCUAUUUUAUCAUACAUUACAACAAUGUAUAAGGGUCUAUCUAAUGUAUAAGUAUAUUUUAUAAAUUAGGGAGAGAGAAAGCCUAACGGGAUUAUAUUUAAAUACUUUCACUAUAGAAGGGAUUUAUGUGGUUUAUACUAAUAAUAAUAAUAAGGGGAUCUUUCAAAAAUAGCAAUAUUUUGCUAUAAAACCCAUCUUUCAUAGCCACAUUUUACAUAAUUACCAUUUAUAACCGUUGUAUUCGAUUUACGACCGUUGUAUUCAGUUUUACAGAUAGCAUGUAUUCAAAUAAAAUAUGAAUAUAGUCCCUAUUUAGCCGCUAUAUUCGAUUCACAGUUGUUGUAUUCACUUUAAAUUAGUGAUUUGUAUUCAUAAAAACAUAAAUACACUACAUAUUUGGUCUCGCAAAAAACACUAUCAUUUUUUUCCUUUUUCAUUUUCUUAUAUUUUUUCUUUUGCCGUGUUUUUCUCGUUUUUUCUUCUUCUUUUUCUUCUUUUUCUAUUUUUUUCAUUUUUAUUUUUUUCUUUUUAUUUUUUUCUCUCUUCUAUCUCUAACUUCCAUUUCUCUUUCUUUUUUAAUUUUUUAUUUUAUUUUUUUGUACUUAUUUUCUUUAUCAUUUUUUGUUCUAUUUUAUAUUUUUUAUAUUUUCAAAAAAUAUGACUACUCGAGCACAAGUCAUGGAUGAUAACGUAAAUACAAUGAUUAUUUAUCAUAUUUAUUGAUACGAGUACGAUCACAUAGAUGGACUUAUGAGGCCGUACGUUAGACCCGAGGCUUGGUGUGUGCAAUAAAGUGCAAAGGAGCACAUAAAUGGACACCAAAACAGUCCACUACAUACACUAAAUGGGCCAAAUCAGUCCACUACAUAUACUAGAAGGGUGCCCCUUCACUAAGGGGCCUUUUGGUCAUUUUACCUAUUAUUUGUAAUACACUAUAAAUAGAAUAAUGUAGGGUUUCAUUAGGGAGAUUUUGAUGAAUAUUGUGAGUUUAUAACACUGGAAACAUUUCCUCUCUAAGGAGAGAAGACCACCAACCCGAAAUUGUAAUUAGAAAAAUCAACUUGACUGUGGAAUCGCUCGUGUUGGAUUCAAGCUUGGAAACGUUGGAUGCUUGGGAGAUCGGGGUCACUCUUGUGCCAACAUAAGAGUUAGGUAUUUGAUGUGUGUGAUGUUAAAGGUCCAAGAGUGGAAUAGGUUUUUGGGUUGUUAAUAUUAUACCUUUAAUUUAUCUAACUAUCUAUCCUUUUGUUUCUUUGUAAUCGUGUAGUAGGGUUGAUGUUGUAACCGUGUGUUUGUGUUGUUAAUGUGGAAUCUGAAAUUAGUCUGUUGUCCAUCUUGUUCUUGUUGUGUUUCUACUAUUUUGGUGUUAUUAUGCCAUUGUGUCUUGUUUUCUUCUUGUUGGUAGCGAAUCUGAGAGGGGUCACCAAAAGAGGUCCUCUAUUUCUUGGCUAGUGGACUGAUUUCGGUGUUUGUUUCGUGUUUCCUUUGUCUUUUGUGUAUCAUUUGGUAUCAAAGCAUGGCUUGAUCUUGUUCCUACAAUAUCAAUCUUGGGCUUGCUUGAUAGAAAAUUUUAAAAAAAAGUGUUACAAAACUGAAAAAUAAAAAAGAAGCACAUCUUUCCAUUUUGUGUUCUUGGCCGAAAUUGUGUUAUUGUUGUGUCUUAACCGAGAUUUUUACUUGUUUUGUUGUUUCUAGUGUUAGUUUUCUUCAUUAUCUCUAACACUCUUGAGUCUAAAUCUAAGUUUGAGCUUACAUUGUUGGUGUUAUUUUCGUGAACAUAAGGCGUGGCCGAAUUGUUGUUGAAACAUUGUUGUGGUGGACUGUUUUGGCCUUGUGGUCUUCAUCUUGUUGUUGUUCUAAGCUUGGCCACGUGAUAUUGUUGUUCAUUGGUGGCCUAAGAACCAUUUUGUUGAAAUUGUAGUUGUCUUGGCCAAGUGUUGAAGAUAUUGUAUUGUGAAAAUUGAAAGUUGGCCGUGUGAAAAUUGUGGUAUUUUUGGAGAUUGUUGUUGGUUGUUCUUGGUGAUUGUUGAUGUUGUUCUUGAAGUUCUUCACAACCUUCAUAGCUUGUUAAUAUAAAGUGAACAUUAGAUCUAUAAAGGUAAAGGAAAAGGGGUGAAGCUUUGAUAGUCUUGAAAGACUUCCCAUCACUCAUCAAAUAGUCAAUCACAUAUCAACCACUUUCCAACAACUUUCCAUAAAACAAGAGUCCAUGUUGUAAGGAGAAGUACAAGAAAGUCAAAGUCUUGAAAACUUGACUUUGAAAAGGCUCCAAGACUUGUUUGAAUUUCCCUCCUUAAAACAAAUUCCACCAAUUCCUAAAUUGUAAAUUGAUCAAGACUUAAAAUUGGAUAACAACAAAAAAAAAUUGUUAGAAACUGCAACCAAUUACGUGCUUCCACGUCAUCAUUUUUACUGUUCACGCAACAUAUUUAAGCUCAAAUUUCAGAUUUCUUAGUUUCUUUUUGUUGUUCCUUAGUUUCAAUUUCGUUGGUUCCAAUACUAAUUGACAAACUAGUACUCAUCUACUAGAUUGUUAGUUAGUCUUUGUGUUCGUUCAUUCGUGUUAAACGUUUGUUGUGUGCUUUUCUCUUUUGUGAAUUCGUUCUAUCUUGUUGGUUCAAGUCCGUAAAUAAUUUUUUUGAGCCAACUCAAACGAAAAUCCAUUCUGGCAAAGAGUAGGCUCGACCCUCAAUCACUCACGAAGUACAAGCCAGCUUUCAACACUUGUGAAACCAAGUGUGAGGUAAAAAUCGAGAGUGAGAGUGUGGUGAGGCAUUUUUGAGCUAACAAGUUUGUUGUUUUGUUGUUCGUUGUUUUUUUUUAGGUACCAUGGAUGCCACCAAUCUUGAUGCCACGUUUGACCGUAUCACUAACAAUAUUGAAGACAUGAAAAGGCACGUUGAAAGGCUACGCCAAUUGGUAUCCACACUUAUCCCAACAAAUCCAAAACUUAAGGUCCAAACACCUUGCAGUGAGAGCUUCCCGAAGGAAGUUACUGCCCAAACUUGUGAAGGACUUUCACACUGAGGUAAAGAUGAACAUACUCAUGAACGUCAAGGAAAAAUAGAUAACUCUUAUACUUUGGUACAUGUGAAUGAUGAACAUGUGACUAAUAAAUCGUUGAGUGUGAGUAGUAGCUUACCUACAUAUGAGUAUAUUGAUUCCUUACCACUUGUGGAUGAUGUACAUGUAUUGCGAGUGAAUAUACUAGUUGUUCCUAUAGAUGACCGAGUCAACUCUUCUAGUAUGAUCGAUUUGUGUCUACCUAGUGUUGAAGCUAUUGUGUUGAAUGAAAGUACAUCGUCAUGUGAAAAUUGUGUUGAUCAACUUGUGUGUAAAACUUGUCCACCACUUGAGAAUAUGUGUGAUCAACUUGUGUGUAAAACUUGUCAAGUGAGUGAAGAAUUUGAAAAUGUUGGUCAAGGACAAAGGAGUGAACCUGUGACCCUAUGUUGUUGUAAAGAUUCUAAUGUUUGCUUGGCUCAUAGGGUUAAUCAUGUGCUUGACAUAUCUUUGAAAAAUAAUUUUGCUUGCACUACUUUGCAUGACAUCCCACCCGUGCUUGAUAAAUAUGGCGACUUAAAUUGUGAUCCCUUUAAUGUUAAUGGUGGUUUGUGUCUACUCGAGGACCGUAGGGCAAAUGUGUCAUUGUCUCUUUGGGGUGUUGCUCAUAUCCGUGCAUCCAUGUUUGACACACUUGUAUUUAAGUUGUGUGAAUCACAACUUGAGGAUACCAAGUUAUAUUCUUAUUUGUGGAAGGGUCUAAGGAUGUUAAAAACUUCUUGUCACCUUCAUAGGGUUGGACAAGUUGAAGUAUCUUGUGGGACUCUUGGGAUCGUGCUUCACAUCAUUUGUAGAGGGAAACCGAGUUUUUGGGCAAACUAUUUGCCUUGGAUUGGAUUGUUGCAUGGUAGUUUCCUUAUUCUCCCUAUUGGUAUGACUCCCUUGAUGGAAUGUCUUUCCUCGAUAAGUGGUUGGAAGGAGAGAGGUCCUACGUGCUUGCAGUGUCCCUUUCUCUAAUUGUGUGUUCCUACUUGUGAAUACAUCUUAGACGAGAAUUGUGUCUUUGGUGCCUUUCUACACUACCUAUAUGCAUAUGAUAAUAUUCAUGAUGUUGUUGGAUAUACAUCGUAUGAGAGGCGUAGUCUCGGUUUUUGUCCCUUAAUUCUUGAUGUUCAUCUGAGCCCUUUCGUUUGUGAUUUUAUACAAAAGCUUUUCACAAUUAACACAAAGGAUCCUUGGUAGUUCUUCAAGUGUGUACCACCGUGGCAUGAUAGUGCUAAUUGUUUAUUUUGCUAACCCUAACCCUCAUGCCAUGGGGAUGUGUACUUGUUUGUUUCCUAUUUGAUUUUGUAAGGUACGGAUUUGAGGUUGAAUCCUUUUAAAGAAGGGGAGGAUGAUACGAGUACGAUCACAUAGAUGGACUUAUGAGGGUGUACGUUAGACCCGAGGCUUGGUGUGUGCAAUGAAGUUCAAAGGAGCACCUAAAUAGACACCAAAAUAGUCCACUACAUACACUAAAUGGGCCAAAUCAGUCCACUACAUAUACUAGAAGGGUACCCCAAUAUAAAUAAAAUAAUGUAGGGUUUCAUUAGGGAGAUUUUGAUGAAUAUUAUGAGUUUAUAACACUUGAAACAUUUCCUCUCUAAGGAGAGAAGACCACCAACCCAAAAUUGUAAUUAGGGAAAUCAACUUGAGUGUGAAAUCGCUCGUGUUGGAUUCAAGCUUGGAAACGUUGAAUGCUUGGGAGAUCGGGGUCACUCUUGUGCCAACGUAAGAGUUAGGUAUUUGAUGUGUGUGAUGUUAAAGGUCCAAGAGUGGAAUAGGCUUUUGGGUUGUUAAUAUUAUACCUUCAAUUUGUCUAACUAUCUAUCCUUUUAUUUCUUUGUAAUCGUGUAGUAGGGUUGAUGUUGUAACCGUGCGUUUGUGUUGUUAAUGUGGAAUCCAAAAUUAGUCUAUUGUUCAUCUUGUUCUUGUUGUGUUGCUACUGUUUUGGUGUUAUUACGCCAUUGUGCCUUGUUUUCUUCUUGUUGGUAGCGAAUCUGAGAGGGGUCACCAAAAGAGGUCCUCUGUUUCUUGGCUAGUGGACUGAUUUUGGUGUUUGUUUCGUGUUUCUCUUAUCUUUCGUGUAUCAUUUAUAGUCACACCAUCAUUUAUAUUUUUGUAUUCAUUGAUACAAUUGCAUUUGUAUUUAUAUUUAUAUUUUAAAGUUCACGUUUGUAUUUGUAUUCUGUAGUUCGCAUUAUAUUUGUAUUUUAUAGUUUGCACAUGUAUUUGUAUUUGUUAGUUCGCACCAUCAUUUAUAUUUUAUAUAGUUCACACUUGUAAAUUAAAAUUAUUUUGUAUUUGUACUUUAUAAUUGGCUGUAUAUUAUAUUGGAUUAUAUUUGUAUUGUGGUUUUAUUGUGUUCGCAUAUGUAGAUUAUAUUUGUAUUUGUAUUCUAUUUUCGUCGAUGUUUUUUUAUUUCUAGAGAAUUAUUUUGUAUUUGUAUUUAUAAGUUUAUUGCAUAUGUAUUUAGCCGUGACUAUGUACAAUUUGUAUUCUAUUUUCAUCGAUGUAUUUGUAUUUUUAAAGAAUUAUUUUAUAUUUGUAUUUAUAAGUUGAUCGUAUUUGUAUUUGUAAUUUCAUUUGUUUGUAUUUGAAUUAGUAGUUGACAACAUCAUUUGUAUCUUUAAACAUUAGAAAAAAAUUGUUAUUUUUCUUUCUAUGAAGACUUGUAUUUACAUUUAUUGAUACAAUUUGCAUCAUAAUAAAAAUAAAAAUAAUAAAUUAUACAAAUAUAAAUGUUACAUCUGUAUCAAUGACACAUGUUUAUACAACUUGAACUAUAUGCAUACAAAAUAAUACUUGUUUAUAUACAAAUAUAAAUGAUAAAUUUAAAAUACGAAAUAAAAUGAUAUAUUUGCAUUGAAAGACAAAUUGCAUAUUUAUGUAUUUUAGUCUUAAGCAAAUACAAUUAAUCAAUAUACUUAUUUAUAUACAAAUACUAAUGAUAAAUUCUACAUAAUCACAACUACAAAUAAUAAAUUUAUUUAAAAUACAUAAUAUGAUACAAAUAAAUAUAAAAUAUAAAAUAUAACAACAAAUGAAAAAAAAAAAAAAAAAAGGAGAAAAAAUGACCAAAAAAAUAAAAAAGAACGAAAAAAGAAUCAAAGAAAAUGCAAAGAAAAAAAAUUGCAAAAAAAAAAAAGAAAUAUAGAAAAGAUGAAAAAAUAGAAAGAAAAUAUGAUUUAGGCUACAAUUAUGGUUGUGCUAGCGUGUAACUGUAAGGCUACAAAAUGUAAUUAAUGUAAAGUAUAGUAAGGGUUUAAGCUACAAUAGGUAAUUAUGGUGAAAUAGAGUUACGAGUGGUAAUUACAGCCCACCAGGGGCUAUUACGGAUAAUUUUUCCUAAUAAUAAUAGUAGUAAUGGUAAUAGUACAAAAAAAUUAUAACAGUAAUAGUAGUAAUAUUAUUUGUAGUAGUAUCAAUAAUAAUAAUAAUAAUAAUAAAUGAAGGAUUGGUGUACUACACAAAAAGACAAAAUAGUAAUAAUAAUAGCAAUAGCAUAUAUAUAUAUAUAUAUAUACUUAUAAAUAAAGGAUUGGUGUACUAUAUAAAGAGAUAAAAUAGUAGUACACCCAUUUUCAUUUAUAUUACAUAUUACAUACAUAUAUAUAAGUGGUGAUAACCAGGAGGACGAUAUGCCUGCUUCAGCUGCUUCACCCAUGAUUUUACUAUAUUAUUUUUAAUUAAUUAUUAUAAGUCAUUUAUAAAUUUUAAAAUUAAUAUUAUUUAAUUAAAAAAAAGUAAAUUAAAUAUUUAUGAUAUUCCUGCUUCAACUUUGAUUUUACUAUAUUAUCCCUAAUUAAUUAUUAUAAAUUAUUUGCGUGUUAAAAAAUUAAAAAAUUUUAAUAAAAAUUUUGAAAUAGACAUUUACGACAUGACAGUUUCAACUGCUUCAACCGUGAUUUUACUGUAUCAUUCAUCCGUGAUUUUAUUAUAUCAUCCCUAAUUAAUUAUUACAGUUAGUCCAGUCAGUUCUCUUUGGAAUACAAGCGUAUUGGUCUCAGAUCUUCCACAUCCCCUCAAAGGUUAUUAAAGUUAUUGAUGCAUAUUGCAGAAGUUAUAUUUGGUCGGCCACAAAAGAGCUUUGGUGGCCUGGGAUAAAGUGUUUGUGCCUGUAUCUAUUGGAGGUCUUAACAUCACCAAGUGGAACAAAGCUGCCCUGGCUAAAACAUGUUGGGAUUUGGUUCAUAAAAGUGAUAAGCUAUAGAUCAAAUGGAUCCAUAGCCACUACGUCAAUCCUAAUCAGGUUGAAAAUACACCUAUACCUAAACAGGCUUCAUGGGUAGUAAGGAAGAUUAUUGAAGUAAGAAGGCACUUAGUUCAGACUCGACUCUAUGACAUCCAAAGUUUCCUCAAUAUCAAAACUAUAUACCUCAAGUUAUUAGGAGAGGGGAAUAGAAUUCAAUGGAAGAAUUUGAUGCUAGCAAACCAAGCUAGACCAAAAGCUAAAUUUAUUUUAUGGCUGCAACUUCAGGACAGAUUACUGACAACUAAGAGACUGGUCAAAUGGAGAAUGAAUGUAGAUCUUCCCUGCAAGUUAUGCACUGCAUGAUUGGAACCUCGAGACCACUUGUUUGUGCAGUGUGCCGAUGCUCAGAGCUUAUGGCGUAAACUACUCUACUGGUUAAAGAAAAGCUAUGUUGAUGCUACAAAUUGGAAGGAACACAAUGCAUGGGUGAUAAAAAAUGCUAAAGGCAAAUCAAAACUGCCCACAUUUUCAAAAUGAUUUACACAGAAUAUGUUUAUGCAAUUUGGAUGGAAAGAAAUUUAAGAACCUUUGAAGGCCGAAGCAGACAAUGGCAAUGCCUCGCUAAAGAGAUAGCCUACACAUGUUAAGUGAGAGCUUUACUGGGAGUUAGUUCUAAAUUACAAGAGUUGAAAUUUUAGUAGCUAUUAUGUUGUUGAUUUUCCAUCUGAUUUCUCUUGUAAUUUUUUAGUUUUCUUUUAUUGGAUUGUAAUCCUGAGGUAGGAUUACUAUGGAGUUGUAAUUUGCUACUUGGUAAUGAAUGCAAUCGUUAGUUACCAAAAAAAAAAAAAAAUAUUACAGGUCAUUUAUGCAUUUCAAAAUUACUAUUAUUUAAUUAAAAACAGUAAAUUAAAUAUUUAUGUCAUGCCUACUUCAACCGUGAUUUUACUAUAUUAUCGCUGAUUAAUUACGACAAAUCAUUUACGUAUUAAAAAAAUUUAAAAUAUUUAAUAAACAUUUAUGGCAUGAGAGCUUCAGUUGCUUCAACCGUAAUUUUACUAUAUCAUUCAUAAUUAAUUAUUAUAUAAGUCGUUUAAGUAUUAAAAUGUUAAUAAUAUUUAAUAAAAAAUAAAAUAGACAUAAAAUAAUAAAUUAUUUUUUGAUGUUCUUUAUAAGUCAUUUAAGUAUACAAAUUUAAUAAUAUUUAAUAUAAAGGAUAAAAUAGGUAUGAAAUGAUAAAUUAUUUUUUGAUGUUUUCAAUUAACUUGACGUCUUAUAUGGGAUCACUUUAAAAAAAUUUCACAAGUAUUUGUUAUGAUAAUUUUACUAUGUCACUUCUAAUUAGUAGAAUAAAAAAAUAUUACAAAUCACAAUAAUUAAAAAUUUAAAUUAUUUAAAAAAAUAUAAUUGAUAUCAAUGCCACAAAAGUUUGAAUAACUUAAAAUAUUAUUAUAUAAAUUUUAUAAAUCUAAAUAUAAUAAUAUAUGUAUAACUUAGAAUUUAUCAACCAAAUUAAUAAAGAUUUUGAUUCAAUGAUAAAAUUAUAUAUGACGUAAAAUUUUUAAGGAUCAAUAUUGAAUCGUGCAUCGCACGGCCUAAGCUCACUAAUAUAAGAGAUAAGAGUAAUAUAAGCGUAUAGUGCACUAAAUUAAUACAUUAAAUAUUAUUUUUAUAAAUUUUGAUCUUGCUCGUAUAUUUUGUGGCGACGGUAUGAUAUAUUUUGCCGACAAAAUUUAAAUUAUUUUUUUUAAUUCUGCUUUCGGCCUGUGUCAUCUCAAGUUCCUUUGUCACCAUCAUAACAUUUUCUGAUGUGCCAUGCUAAUGAGGAUAUUCGAUAUGGAAUGAAAUAAAUAAAAAUAUUUUAUUAUAUUAUUUUUUCAUCUUUAAAUUAGCUUAUACAUCAAAUUAAAUAUAAAAUAAAAGUUAAUCUCAAUUUUUGUUUAGAAAUUGUUAUCCUUAUGCCACUUACCAAAUGAAAAAUCUACAUGUAAUAGUUUAACUAUGAUGUUUAUAUACAAUUCAAUUCAUUAUCAUUUGAACAAAAUAAAUCUUGACUUACCUCAAUUUCAAACUUCAAAAUAAUAUUACCAUAUGUCAAUAUCCUGUAACCCAUUAAUAUAUCUAUAAUCUAUAUCUAUAUUUAUAAUCUAUAAUUUAUAUCUAUAUAAUAUAUUAAAAAUAUGAAGAUUAUUAGAAAAGUGAUUUAAACUUUUUAUCCAUCAUUAAAUAACCCUACAAAACUGUCUUUUCAUUAUUUUUUAAAUUUAUUAUUUAAUUUUUUUACUAUAUUAAGUAGACUUCCUAAAAUAUAUGAGACUCCUAAAAUAUAUGGUAAGAGAAUUAAUUAAUAUUUUUCUUUCUACUAGACUUUCUAAAAUAUAUGGUAAGAGAAUUAAUUAAUAUUUUAUUUCUACUUUCAAUUAGAAAAAUACUUCUAAAAUAAGACUCUAUUGAGGAAAUACUUCUAAAAAUAUUGAGAUGUACGUUAAACUAGAGAACAAAUUGAUUUGUCUAUUUGGAGAAUAUGAUUGAUAUUCAUCUAACUUGAUUCGAUUGCAUAUCUAGAUUGAUGGAUGCUUGAUUUUCUAACCCUCAACUUCUUCACUGUUUUUGUCAGCAUAAUAGAUAAAUAUCGGUUUACUUUGACAAUUUUUUGAUGUAAAAGUUAGGUUUAAUUGUAUUGUUUUGAUAUCUUUAUUAUCUUAUUGUUUUAUUUUAAUUUAUAGAUGCUAGAUGAAUGUGGGUCGACUUUGAAUUUUUUUUUAGGUAAAGGUUAGGUUUAAUUCUAUUAUCGUAAUAUGUGUAUUAGUUUGUUAUUUUGUGGUAGUUUACAGUUCGUAGAUGAAUCUCGAUUGGCUUGGAGAAAUUUUUGGGUGUAAAAUUUAAGUUUAAUUGAAUUGUUUUGAUAUCACUUUUAUCAUAUUAUUUUGUUGCAGUUUACAACGGAUAGAUAAAUGUUGAUCGACUUUGAGGGUUUUUUUUAUAUAAAGGUUAGGUUUAGUUGUAUUAUUUUGAUAUCUAUAUUAUCGUAUUAUUUUGUUAUUGUUUACGCGUGGUAGAUGAGUGUCGAACGACUUUGAAAAAAAAAUUGUGUGUAAAGAUUAGAUUAAAUUGUAUUAUUUUGAUGUCUCUAUCAUUGUAUUAUUUUGUUGCAAUUUACGGAUGAUAGAUGAAUAUCGGUCGACUUUUAAAAAUAAUUUUGGUAAAGAUUAGGUUUAAUAAAUAAAUUUUUCAUCUUUACAUACACAAAAGAUAUUAAAUUUACUUGUUAUAUCCAUAAAACAAAUAUCCUAUUUAAUGUAAUGUUUGAACUCAUUAAAGUAAGUUACACACGCAAGGCGCAAGACAUCCCUCAACUUGUUUGAUUUUUUUAAAAAAACACCUAAAUUAUACGGGCAACCUAUUACCCCACGGAACUAAUUUCAACUACAAUAAAUACACCACUUUGAUGCAUUUUCAGAGCAAGUGUAGUGUCAACAGGUAGGGGUACGUGAAUGGUUAAAUUCUACCCCCAAACCAGUAUAAAACUACCACGUGGCAUUAAAUUAUACCAUAAAUCCAUAUAAAGCUGCCACAUGGCAUUAUCAAUAAAAAAAAUUCUUCUUUUCUCUACAACCUCAAAACUUUCAUUAAUAAUAUCAAAACCUCCGUUGAUAGGAACUCAUCUUCUCCAAACAAGAAGAAAGAAAGAAUUCAUUAAUUUUCAACUACAACUUGAUCUCAAUAUCUACUUCAGACAAAACAACAAAUGAAAAAAAGAUAGUGCAAAUGCCUAACUUAAACACAAUCAAAAUUGAAAACAAAGUGUAUAUAUGAACACCAAAUUGAAGAAAAAUAAAAGAAAACUUGAUAUAUAAACGAAGCAAAUUCUUAACUAAAAUUCAUUAUGUUAAGAAAUUAACAUCACUUUCUACUUCUAAAAUACGAUAACAAAUCAGAACAUAUAAAUAUGCCGGAGAAGUGGAGAUAUAGAAUUUUUUUUUUGAAAUACACAAAUCAAAAAGUUUGAAUUGAAAAACACAAGCAGUAAAAUACCAAAAAAAAAAAGGGAAGAGUGGGUUGUGGAAUUCACCGGAAUGAUGAGAUUUGUGGGGGAAAGAAAAGAGAGUGGAAAGUGAAAUGAAUUAAAAUAUGAAAAAAUUGAGUUUUUACCCGAUCUUUUAUCAGACAAGUAGAAAAAAGUGAUAAACAGGAGGUGAGACACACACUCCUAACAUGAGAAUACAACUGAAGUAAAAAUUGUGUAUCUGUUAUCGUUGGAAUUGAUUUUGGGACGUAAUAGAUCACCUGUAUAAUUUAAGUAUUUUUUUGAAAAAGUUGGACAAGUUGAAAGGUGACUUUAUGUCUUUUCUCUAUGAAAUUUUAUGCUAAACCCUUCUCCAUUAAAAUUGAUCUCAUUAUGUAGUAGUAUGGGUCUGGACCUUGAAUUAAAAGGGAAAAAUAAUUUUCUCAAUUAACUGAGGGUCUCUCAAGUUUUAAAAAUUAGAUAAAAGGGACAAAAAAAAAUUAAAUUUUUUUUAAAACAUUUUCGCUUUAACAACUAAAAAGGUUGUUUCAACAACUAUAAAAAUUGUCUCAAUAACUAUAAAAAUUGUUCGACAACUUUGAUAGUUGUUGAGAUAACUAAUACAGUUGUCGAACAACUGUUCAAGUUAUUUAAGCAACUCUAUUUAUUUAACUUAAUAAUAUUAUGAGACUCAUCUAUCUCCUUUUUAAUUAAAAACUUAGGAGGACCUUUCGACUCAUUUUUCUCGUAUGGGUCCUAUUAAUAGUAAGAAUCCAAAGUUUGAAUUAGGUGGAAAAGUAAUUUGGGAGUAGCUGCAGACUUGAAGUAUAGUGGAUAGACAAUAAAUUACCUUUAAUGAACAUUAAAAUCAAAAGACUUACCUAGAGCCUUUGCUUGACUGUUGACUCUCAUUAAAAAUCUUACGAAAAAUACUCUGCGACGAAUAUGAUAGAAAUUCUUUAAAAUUUGAGAUGUAUCAAGUAGGCAUAGCCAUCCAGACAAAAUUUUUAUUAAGGAGUUCAAAAUUUUAAAAAGUCAACAUAUAAAAAUGUUAUAGUGGGAUUUGGAUUUAGUCGUCAAUAUUCUUUUGAUUUUAUUUUUAUUUUUAAUUAUUAUUUUUAAUAAAUUAAGAAGAGAUUUUUUUUUGGUGUGUUUCAUCUUUAACAUUAAUUACUUAUUUUUUAUAUUAUUUUUUAAUAUCUACUUUACUAAACAUUAAUAAAUAGGGAUAUUAAUCAAGAUAAGAUAAUUUUUUUUUUAUCCUUAGUAUUAGUUAUUUUUUGUUCAAAUUAAAAUAUAAACAUUAUUUAAUAUGGGUACUAUGGUAAAGUAGUCAUGUCAUUAAUUAUUUUUUUUAAUCAAUGUGUAAUAUUAAAUUGAGAUAAGUAAAAUAAAGUAUUAUACAAUCAUUAUUUUCUUAAUAAAUAUGACAAACGAAAGUAUCACAAAUAAAUUCUAAAAAAAAAACUAUAUACAUAAAAAAAAAAUAAAAGAUAUUUUGAUCAUUUACAAACAACUUUCUAUCCCACUCUUAUAAUACUAUAUAAUGGCAGCCCGUGCUAGCAUGAGUUCAAUAUAUGUUACUUUUUAAUCUCAAUUUAUGUGACAUAAAUAGAAUUUAAAUAAUCAAUCAUUCAAAUAAUUUAAGUUUUUAAUUAGUAUGAUUUAUAAUAUUUUUUCUUCUAUUUCAAUUUAAGUGACACUGAUGUAAUUUUUAGAGUCAACUAAAUAUUUUAAAUUUUUUAAAUUUUGUAAGUUGUUAAUUAUGCGAUUUGUAAUUUUUUACAUGUUUUUCAAUAAGAUAUGAAUACACUCCCCGUCUCAAUUUAUAUGACACAGAUAAAAUUUCAACAAUCAAUUAACCUUUUUUUAUAUUUUUUAUUAAGUUCUUAAUUAUUGUGAUUUGCAAUAUUUUUAAUCUCAUUUUUAAAUAAUAUAUAUAUCACUUUUCAGCUGUCCCAUCCAAAUUUAUGAGUAUUAAUAUAAUUUCGAUAGUCAAUCAAAUUUUUUAUGUUUAUAUAUCAUUUGGUAUCUAUUUUAUCUUUCUUUUUUUUUUUUAUGAAAUAUUAUUAAAUUUUUAAUACUUAGAUGAUCAUAAUAAUUAAUUAGGAGUGAUAUAGUAAAAGUACGAUUGAAGUAGCUGAAGCAGAUAUGUUAUAAAUGUCUAUUUUACUUUUUUUAUUAAAUAUUAUUACUUUUUUAAUACGUAAAUGACUUAUAGUAGUUAAUUAAGAGUGAUACAAUAAAAUUACGACUGAAACAGAUGAAGCAGACAACACAAGCAGACAUGUCGACCGCGUACCUGGGUUAAGUUGCUUAACUCGAGAAAUCUAUCAAAUUAUUAUUAACCUUUCCCCUGGUGAGCUUUCAACCUUUGUGCUUUCUAAAUGGCUCAAACUCACAAUUAAAUUAAAAAUGAAAGGUGCUUAUUAUUUGAGCGGUUCCUCUUGUCAAAUCUUAUCAAAUUAUAUAUAAAUAUUGCUAGAGCAAUAUUUUAUUAUUUAUUUAUAAAAUCAACUUGUUUUUAAAAAUAUUUUUCAUGGCAAAUAUUAGUCGAAAGCAAUUGAAUUAUUUGAGGGGUAAUCGUGUAUAAUAUGUGUGGCCGACACCUUUAUCUCGGAUCCUCUCAUUGAUUUUGAUCGGUCACGUUUGGGCCCCACUAGAAAAGUGGGGGCCCAUUGGACACGUUCACACCACCUUCACAUUAAAGCCCAAGAAAAAAAAAAAUAUCUUCACUAUCCUACAAUAUUCUAACUGUAUUUCAACUUUGAUCCCUAACUCAUAUUUAAAUUUCUUUUUCAUCCUCCAUUGAUUUUUUUGGAUUCGUAUUAAGGAAUGUCAUUAGAAUUCUUUUGUACGUAUGUGCAAAUAUGAUUUAAUAAAUUAAAAACAUAUGUUUUUAAUUUGAAUUACGUGAUAAAAUUUUAUAUAUUAACACGGUAAAAUAUUCAGUCCCUUAUCUCUUUUCAUGAAAAUGUUACAAUACUGAAUUAUGUACUCACUUUCUACUUAAAUUUUGACCUUUAUAUUUUUCUAUCUAUUAGAAUUAUGUUUUCAAUAAAAUGAAAUUGUUACAUAUCUUAUCUAAUAACCUCUCUUUUCCUUUUCUUUUAGAUUUUUUGUGUCUACCUUCACCUCUCCUUAAUCCUUAUUAGUGGUACAGUUAGUUUUUCAUACCUCCUUAAUGAUACAUCUGUAUACUACAUGUUUAAAUCAUUUAAAUUUCAUUUUUAUUAUUUUGACUACCAUAGAAACAACUCUCCCGUGUUACAUAUAACUUUAUUUCUAAUCACAUUUCUUUAACGAAUUUUAGGGCCAAAAGUGUAAUUUGCUACUCUCUUAGUUUAAAAUAGGAUGACCUACUUUUCUUUUUAGUUCAUUUAAAAAAAUAAUUUUUUUUUUUUUUGGCAAUACUUUGUUUUAAUUUUUCACAUGACAUAUUUAGGACC
rnacentral:lncRNA from 1 species